GGACAAGCAGUUUCAGACUGUGUGUGUGUGUGAGAUAUUCAAUUCCAUCUUAUAGCAGCAUUGUGUUGUCAAAGACGUUUAAGGUGUGUCAUUGGGUCACAGUGAGCCUCAUCUUUGCCAUGAAAAUAGAGAACUAGAAUGGUUACUAAUUUUCACCUUACAACACUCAAUUGUCCACUUUUUACAAAAGUGUAAACAAGGAAAACGGUACACUACAUUGGCCAUAACCAACCAGAGAUAGAAAGUGUCAUGACCAGAAGCCCCAGGUCCUUUGAGACAGACUGGAUGGAUCAUCUCGAUGGAUACUGACAUGUUCACGGUCCAUCUGCGCUCUGCAGGAGGUCUUUUUUUUCCCUGUUUUGAAAGGUUACUCUGAAAAUUAAACCUUGCAAGUUUGUUUUUUUGUUGUUGUUUGUUUGAACUGGGCAGGAUUAAGAAAAUUUGACUUGUUUUGCUUUCCCCUUGAGGUUUGCAGGCACACCUAUGACUGUGAGUUGGCCAAUUAGAACCCAGUGAGUCACAGUGCAUCCAGAGGCAGAAGAACAAGAUCCCUGUGUCUUUUUGUUGCUACGCAUCAAGCCGCAUUCAGCUACACGAUAAUUUGCAGACCGAUGUACAAGACCAGUCAACACCGCCUCAUCAGAGACCUAUGUGGGAAAGGCACUGUAUUAUCAGGCAAACACCAAUUCAGCAAAGCACCAGUUCCUCAAUUGGUUUACUGUACGUUCCUCUCCCUCUUGUAACUCUUAUUCAGGUACAGUGAUUUUGAGCACUUCCCCUGCUCAACAGAGUCUCCGUGACAAAGGUUGCAGUUGAUAAGGAACAUACGGCUGAUUCCGAAGGUAAAGCUGAAACUGAUGAAAGCGAGGAGCCACAGUUACCAUGUUGGUUACAUCGCCAAUAGAUCUAACGAGUACACUGGAAAUGUAAUACAGUAACCUAGCAGCAACUUGACAAAUAAGCUUCCAUUCAGGUCCUAUUCUUUCUUAGUUUUGCUCAACUGCUACAUAGGUUUACGACCGCUUUCUUUGGUACAACUAAGAAAUACCAGGUGAGAUCCAGUUUUUUCCUUUACAGAUGCAUGAAAUCAAUAAGUGUGUUGGAUACAGAUCUUAAGGCUUUGGGUCUGUGCUGGCUGGACAGUUUCAUACAGUUCGUGCAGAAGGAACAUCGCAUUCCACCUCACCCCAAGGAUGCUCUGCUGGCUUGAAAGGAGCGGCGAGGAUCAAACUGCACGGCUCGGUGGCGGCGCGCGCGCGCCGGACGCAGGAGCAUCACACGCAGUGAGUUACUUUCACUGAAGUGCACCUCGCUGCCAAUGUUACCGGUGCGCUCAUCUCGGUUAUUUUGCAGUCACGCAUUUAAAUUAAAGCACUGUUAUUUCUACGUGAAGGGACAAUCAAUGUGAACUCUGACUUUCACACAGGACACGGACGGACGCGGAGGGAGGCUGUCGUUCCAAUUCGUGCCGCGCGCGACACACAGUGCGUGUGCGCCGGCGAAUGUGGUUAAUUUUUUUUUUUUUUUUUUUUUAAAGAAAAUUUUUAAAAAAAGAUCAGACGCUGUCGUUACCUGGGUUGUGCUGCGUGGGGGCUGCGGGCAGCAUCCUCCGAUCCCC